CAGUACCAGCAGCUUUAAAUGAUUUCUUGUCCUUGAUGACUGUAAUGCACAGGUUCUCAACCUCUGGUAUGCAAACCACAGGGGGUAUACGCACCACAAGCAGGUGGUACAGCAGGAGACUGCCGGCUGUGCAUUAAUGCAGAGUAGGCACCUGCUUAUCCGACAGCAAGUAUUUGCUGUGCCCGAAUGUUGCGUCCGGAGGGCAGAAUGAAG